CAUGUGGGGCAAGCGUUGUUCGGAAUUACUGGGCAUAAAGGGUGCGUAGGCGGCUUGUUAAGUCAGGGGUGAAAGUUUUCGGCCCAACCGGAAAAUUGCCUUUGAUACUGGCGAGCUGGAGUGCGCGAGGGGUGACCGGAACGAGUGGUGUAGCGGUGAAAUGCGUAGAUAUCACUCGGAAGGCCAACGGCGAAGGCAGGUCACUGGUGCGCAACUGACGCUGAGGCACGAAAGCGUGGGGAGCAAACAGGAUUAGAUACCCUGGUAGUCCACGCCGUAAACGAUGAGCACUAGGUAGGUGCCGAGCUAUUCGGUGCCUGCCGCAGGCAAUUUGGUAAGUGCUCCGCCUGGGGAGUAUGGUCGCAAGGCUG
rnacentral:rRNA from 1 species